GCUUCCUGUCUUUUUCAAUAGUUUGCUCCUCAAAUCACAGCUCCUUUGGCGUCCUGAAACGCCAGACUUUGUCUCCUCUGACGUGUGAAACUCCUGCUUUCUUCUUGGGCUCUUUUCGCCUUCACCACAACUUGGAAAAUGCCCCCAGGAAAAUUCCGAGGUUCUCAGGGUGGCAGAUGAGGAAGAAGGUGGAGAACAGGAUAGAAAUGAAAUUUUGAGAAGGGAGUCCAGCCUAGAAGCUACUUAUGGGUAACUUACUGCUGCACCUGCUGCUGUUGCUGCUUUCUAUGGUAACCAUGAAGUACACACCAUGGGAGCUACCCACCUGUGCUCCAGAAGUUGCAAUACCGGAGAGGUGAUGGAGAGGAUGAGAUGCUCCCUGACCCUGCAUCAUAUUUCCUCACCUUGCAAGCCAAUGGCUGCUGAUGCUUUGAUAUUGCACAGAAUAAUGUAUGAAAAUAUCUCCAUCAGUGCCUUCCUGUAGUUCUUCUUUUCUGGUGCUUGAAUCCAUAGUAUUGGGGAGGUGGGCGUGGGUGAAUGGGUAGGGUAUGUAACAUUAACCCAGUCUGUCUUUUCCAAUCCAGUUUUGCUAUCAAUUCUUGAAACUUGUGUAUGUAGUUACAUACCCCAACAUUGUAUCAGAUAUGCUAUAUAUGUCUGAAUCAUAGUAGGUGAUCCAACUCAGUUGCAAAACUACCAGAUACAGAUGAAUAAAGGAUUCCAAAUUUCUCUCUACAUUUUCUC